rnacentral:rRNA from 1 species
AUGAACGCUGGCGGCGUGCCUAAUACCUGCCAGUCGCGCGAACAGACGAGGAGCUUGCUCCUCUGACGUUAGCGGCGGACGGGUGAGUAACACGUGGAUAACCUACCUAUAAGACUGGGAUAACUUCGGGAAACCGGAGCUAAUACCGGAUAAUAUAUUGAACCGCAUGGUUCAAUAGUGAAAGACGGUUUUGCUGUCACUUAUAGAUGGAUCCGCGCCGCAUUAGCUAGUUGGUAAGGUAACGGCUUACCAAGGCAACGAUGCGUAGCCGACCUGAGAGGGUGAUCGGCCACACUGGAACUGAGACACGGUCCAGACUCCUACGGGAGGCAGCAGUAGGGAAUCUUCCGCAAUGGGCGAAAGCUUGACGGAGCAACGCCGCGUGAGUGAUGAAGGUCUUCGGAUCGUAAAACUCUGUUAUUAGGGAAGAACAAAUGUGUAAGUAACUAUGCACGUCUUGACGGUACCUAAUCAGAAAGCCACGGCUAACUACGUG